UGGGGAAUUUUGGACAAUGGGGGAAACCCUGAUCCAGCCAUCCCGCGUGUGCGAUGAAGGCCUUCGGGUUGUAAAGCACUUUUGGCAGGAAAGAAACGUCAUGGGUUAAUACCCCGUGAAACUGACGGUACCUGCAGAAUAAGCACCGGCUAACUACGUGCCAGCAGCCGCGGUAAUACGUAGGGUGCAAGCGUUAAUCGGAAUUACUGGGCGUAAAGCGUGCGCAGGCGGUUCGGAAAGAAAGAUGUGAAAUCCCAGAGCUCAACUUUGGAACUGAAUUUUUAACUACCGGGCUAGAGUGUGUCAGAGGGAGGUGGAAUUCCGCGUGUAGCAGUGAAAUGCGUAGGUAUGCAGAGGAACACCGAUGGCGAAGGCAGCCUCCUGGGAUAACACUGACGCUCAUGCACGAAAGCGUGGGGAGCAAACAGG
rnacentral:rRNA from 1 species